GAUGAACGCUGGCGGCGUGCCUAAUACAUGCGAGUCGAGCGAACAGACGAGGAGCUUGCUCCUCUGACGUUAGCGGCGGACGGGUGAGUAACACGUGGAUAACCUACCUAUAAGACUGGGAUAACUUCGGGAAACCGGAGCUAAUACCGGAUAAUAUAUUGAACCGCAUGGUUCAAUAGUGAAAGACGGUUUUGCUGUCACUUAUAGACGGAUCCGCGCCGCAUUAGCUAGUUGGUAAGGUAACGGCUUACCAAGGCAACGAUGCGUAGCCGACCUGAGAGGGUGAUCGGCCACACUGGAACUGAGACACGGUCCAGACUCCUACGGGAGGCAGCAGUAGGGAAUCUUCCGCAAUGGGCGAAAGCUUGACGGAGCAACGCCGCGUGAGUGAUGAAGGUCUUCGGAUCGUAAAACUCUGUUAUUAGGGAAGAACAAAUGUGUAAGUAACUAUGCACGUCUUGACGGUACCUAAUCAGAAAGCCACGGCUAACUACGUG
rnacentral:rRNA from 1 species